GUGUGUGUUAGUGGAAGCGUCUGGAAAGGCGCGCGAUACAGGGUGACAGCCCCGUACACAAAAAUGCACAUGCUGUGAGCUCGAUGAGUAGGGCGGGACACGUGGUAUCCUGUCUGAAUAUGGGGGGACCAUCCUCCAAGGCUAAAUACUCCUGACUGACCGAUAGUGAACCAGUACCGUGAGGGAAAGGCGAAAAGAACCCCGGCGAGGGGAGUGAAAAAGAACCUGAAACCGUGUACGUACAAGCAGUGGGAGCACGCUUAGGCGUGUGACUGCGUACCUUUUGUAUAAUGGGUCAGCGACUUAUAUUCUGUAGCAAGGUUAACCGAAUAGGGGAGCCGAAGGGAAACCGAGUCUUAACUGGGCGUUAAGUUGCAGGGUAUAGACCCGAAACCCGGUGAUCUAGCCAUGGGCAGGUUGAAGGUUGGGUAACACUAACUGGAGGACCGAACCGACUAAUGUUGAAAAAUUAGCGGAUGACUUGUGGCUGGGGGUGAAAGGCCAAUCAAACCGGGAGAUAGCUGGUUCUCCCCGAAAGCUAUUUAGGUAGCGCCUCGUGAAUUCAUCUCCGGGGGUAGAGCACUGUUUCGGCAAGGGGGUCAUCCCGACUUACCAACCCGAUGCAAACUGCGAAUACCGGAGAAUGUUAUCACGGGAGACACACGGCGGGUGCUAACGUCCGUCGUGAAGAGGGAAACAACCCAGACCGCCAGCUAAGGUCCCAAAGUCAUGGUUAAGUGGGAAACGAUGUGGGAAGGCCCAGACAGCCAGGAUGUUGGCUUAGAAGCAGCCAUCAUUUAAAGAAAGCGUAAUAGCUCACUGGUCGAGUCGGCCUGCGCGGAAGAUGUAACGGGGCUAAACCAUGCACCGAAGCUGCGGCAGCGACACUAUGUGUUGUUGGGUAGGGGAGCGUUCUGUAAGCCUGCGAAGGUGUGCUGUGAGGCAUGCUGGAGGUAUCAGAAGUGCGAAUGCUGACAUAAGUAACGAUAAAGCGGGUGAAAAGCCCGCUCGCCGGAAGACCAAGGGUUCCUGUCCAACGUUAAUCGGGGCAGGGUGAGUCGACCCCUAAGGCGAGGCCGAAAGGCGUAGUCGAUGGGAAACAGGUUAAUAUUCCUGUACUUGGUGUUACUGCGAAGGGGGGACGGAGAAGGCUAUGUUGGCCGGGCGACGGUUGUCCCGGUUUAAGCGUGUAGGCUGGUUUUCCAGGCAAAUCCGGAAAAUCAAGGCUGAGGCGUGAUGACGAGGCACUACGGUGCUGAAGCAACAAAUGCCCUGCUUCCAGGAAAAGCCUCUAAGCAUCAGGUAACAUCAAAUCGUACCCCAAACCGACACAGGUGGUCAGGUAGAGAAUACCAAGGCGCUUGAGAGAACUCGGGUGAAGGAACUAGGCAAAAUGGUGCCGUAACUUCGGGAGAAGGCACGCUGAUAUGUAGGUGAAGUCCCUCGCGGAUGGAGCUGAAAUCAGUCGAAGAUACCAGCUGGCUGCAACUGUUUAUUAAAAACACAGCACUGUGCAAACACGAAAGUGGACGUAUACGGUGUGACGCCUGCCCGGUGCCGGAAGGUUAAUUGAUGGGGUCAGCGCAAGCGAAGCUCUUGAUCGAAGCCCCGGUAAACGGCGGCCGUAACUAUAACGGUCCUAAGGUAGCGAAAUUCCUUGUCGGGUAAGUUCCGACCUGCACGAAUGGCGUAAUGAUGGCCAGGCUGUCUCCACCCGAGACUCAGUGAAAUUGAACUCGCUGUGAAGAUGCAGUGUACCCGCGGCAAGACGGAAAGACCCCGUGAACCUUUACUAUAGCUUGACACUGAACAUUGAGCCUUGAUGUGUAGGAUAGGUGGGAGGCUUUGAAGUGUGGACGCCAGUCUGCAUGGAGCCGACCUUGAAAUACCACCCUUUAAUGUUUGAUGUUCUAACGUGGACCCGUAAUCCGGGUUGCGGACAGUGUCUGGUGGGUAGUUUGACUGGGGCGGUCUCCUCCUAAAGAGUAACGGAGGAGCACGAAGGUUGGCUAAUCCUGGUCGGACAUCAGGAGGUUAGUGCAAUGGCAUAAGCCAGCUUGACUGCGAGCGUGACGGCGCGAGCAGGUGCGAAAGCAGGUCAUAGUGAUCCGGUGGUUCUGAAUGGAAGGGCCAUCGCUCAACGGAUAAAAGGUACUCCGGGGAUAACAGGCUGAUACCGCCCAAGAGUUCAUAUCGACGGCGGUGUUUGGCACCUCGAUGUCGGCUCAUCACAUCCUGGGGCUGAAGUAGGUCCCAAGGGUAUGGCUGUUCGCCAUUUAAAGUGGUACGCGAGCUGGGUUUAGAACGUCGUGAGACAGUUCGGUCCCUAUCUGCCGUGGGCGCUGGAGAACUGAGGGGGGCUGCUCCUAGUACGAGAGGACCGGAGUGGACGCAUCACUGGUGUUCGGGUUGUCAUGCCAAUGGCACUGCCCGGUAGCUAAAUGCGGAAGAGAUAAGUGCUGAAAGCAUCUAAGCACGAAACUUGCCCCGAGAUGAGUUCUCCCUGACCCUUUAAGGGUCCUGAAGGAACGUUGAAGACGACGACGUUGAUAGGCCGG
rnacentral:rRNA from 1 species